GGGUGAUUGUUCCUGUCUCUGUGUUUGCACAAGAUAGGGCUGGUUUGGGUUUCACGGUUAGUAUUGUUUGUUAUUAUCUUUAUUAAAGAUGACUCAAAAUAACCACGCUGCAUUUUGGUCCUCCUCUCCUUCGACGGAAGAAUCCCGUAACACUGGGCUUCUGGACUGGAGGAAAAGGGGAGGUCUGUUAAUGGUGAGAUCAGAAGCCUCCUCAUUGCUGUCUUCCCCUUCAUAAGAGCCUGGCUCAACAUUAACAACAUUCUCCCCACCUUGGGAACCUUCAGAGUGCACCCUAUGCCUGCUAACCCUCCUGGCCCUGAGCAACCAGAGACACUGAAACGAGAAGCGACUCAGAGCCAGCUGAAUCUGGAGCGCUCUAAGAGCCGGAUGGGGACAUUUGUUGAUGCCGGACCGAUGGCUGAGGCCUCCGCAGAUGAGGGGACAUCCUCAGACAUGCCAGACAUCUUGUCCAGACGAAAGUUCAAGCAGACCCUCCCUGAUCCAGACCUCCCGUAAAUUGGUUUUAUAGCAGCCACACAGCACACAUCUCUCGUACACGCCUACCCUCAAAUGGACUUCACAAGUUGGUGAAUCAGAUGUUUACUUACUUCAACAAUACAAUUCAAAAGCUACAUACUGUGCCUUCUCCUAACUAUCGAGAGGAGUACAUAUUUUCUUCCACAAUGUCUCAUUUUAUUAGCAAUAUUAUUUGUGUGUGUGUGUGUGUGACUCAAGUAAUAUGAUAUUUUACUUUUGAAAAGAGCCAACAACUACAGACUAAACUCAAAUAAAGCCUACGACUUCAUGGAAAAAUAAACCUGGUAAAAAUCUCACAGCCUUCACAAACCAAUACACGCUAUAAAGAUACAAAUGCAUUUGUUAGAUACAACAAUGCAACUUAAUUUUAAAAGCUUCUAUAAAAAUCUAUGUAAAUCAGAAUUUAACAACAGCUGGACUGAUCCUACAGCCUUGGUAGGCACAAUAACCCUGAAGCAAAUAUCAGCAGAUUAAAAAAUAAUCACAAAAAAAAUGAAAUCAACCAAAAAUAAAUAUUAGACACUCUUAAAAAAUAUAUGUAUUAAACACUUUGGAAGCGUUCAACUUUCCAGCUGAAAUAAUACAUUUAAUAAAAAUAUUAUAUAAAUAUCAUAAAGCAAAAAUGUACACAAAUAUUACAUUAUGUGAUGAAAUUGCACUGGCAAAUUAAACUGCUUGCAGAAAGAAUUAAGCAGGACCCAAACGUAACAGUUAUCAGUAUUGGUAAACAUGAAUAUAAACUCAAUGUAUUUGCUGGAGAUCUCCUGAUAUACCUGAAUCAUACAAAUGUUAAUAAUGGAAAUAGGAAAAAUAAUACCUCGUGCUCUACAGAAAUCCUUUCAGUGGACCACAAAAAUAUGAAAUACUUAGGAUGCUUAAUAAUAAAUAUGUAAAGGUAACUUUAUCCCAUUAUUCAACAUGAAAGCAGAACUAAUUAAAUGGAACAAUCUCACCACAAAUCUUGCAGGUAGAAUAAACCUCUUUAGAAUGGCAUGGCUCCCAAAGUUUUUAUAUUUAUUCUAGGUAAUACCAAUUACCCCACCAAAGACAUUCUUUAAAAGAGUAUUCUUGGCCAUAACAGACAUCAUAUGGGCAAAUAAAACCCAUAGAAUAAAUAAGAAAGUUUCACAUGUCCCUAAAUCUGAGGGUGGUUUUAACUUUUCAGAUUUGGAAUUGUAUUAACUUGUCACACAAGGCUUUUACUUGCGACAUAUUGUUAAAUACGCUAAAGAGGAACUAUGGGUACAUAUUGAAGAUGCACAUGCUCAUCCCCAGAAUCUUUUCAUGGGUCUAUUUUCAAAGAAUGGAGCUAAGAACAUGAACAACUUCAUAGUUUAGUACAAUAUAACAACAUAGAAGAAAGUGAAACAGAUUCUACAAGAACCAAUAUCAAUCACUCCCUAAAAAGAGACCCCUAUGGAACAAUCCUUGGAUAGCUUUUCAGAAUUUACUGAUAAAUUGGCCCACAAAUUUUAUACCACGUCAUUUCAAGCUGAUAGUUUUUGGACAUCAAAGCAAUGUUGAGGAAAUCCUAUUUGAGUCAGAAAAUGAUAUUCAUAUGAUAGGUAAGAUAUACAAAACCUUACAGAUAGCAUAUCCAACCAAUCUCUUAGAAACAAAUAUACAUUAUUGGAACCAAGACGUACAAAUAACUGAUAUUAGCACAAGAUGCAGGGAAUGUUGGAACACAACUAAGAAUUACAUUUAAUCGUUUACGUUUAAUCCACUAUAAACUAAUGUAUAGAAUUUAUAAUACAAGAAACAAUUCACAAAUUCUACAGCACGAAAGCAGUCACGUCUUAAGUGUAAAACUAACAAUGACUCAAUAAUCCAUGCCUUCUGGGAAUGCUAUAAAGUUAAAAAGUCAUGGGCAGAGUUGGCUGUCAGAAGUAUUACAAUGUAAAUGAACUUUUAAUCCAUCUGUCUGCAUAUUUCAAGACCUGGCAUAUGAGGGUGAAGUGGACUAUACUUUUCUCUUCAAUCAUUUUGAAAAAAAAAACGUCUACAUCCAUCGUUAACACAAUGGAAAAGUCAAAUGCUUUAUUAUCUAAAUGUUCAAAGUGCGUGGGUGAUGGAGGGAAAAAUUUGGUGCAGUUUGAAGCCAUGUGGCGGAGAGUGAUUUGGGUUAUGGACAUGGGGGUGUGAGCUGGUAGGUCUGGGCAGGUGUGAUGUUCUUGAUAUUUGUGUGCAUUUGUUUUGUAUUGUUAAAAAAACAAGAUUCAAGUGGUGACUAUGGCUUUUAGCAAUUAGCAACGGUCAUUGAAAUUGUUAAGUUUUUAAAAACAAUUAUAAUAAAUGCAACAGUUGGAUAAUGGAUGAAGAUACUCCCAACGUUUAGAAUUUGUAUAAUCCAUCAGAUAUUGACAACAUUUUAGUACAUAAAACAUUUUACUGGCAUGGAAAAAUAAUGGAGUUCAGUGAUUUUGAUGAAUUCAGGUAUUCAAUUUAUUGUAAAAUUUCACUUUUUUCUUAGGAUGCACUCAUAUGUACCGUUUCUUACUGUAUCAGGUCUUUUAUUAUAUUUUGUGUUCAAUAAAGAACUAUUUGUACCUCCUUUGCAUACAUACACACACACUGAGUGUAUUUGUAUAUAUUAAUAAUUUAACAUACAGGAGAGGUACAAUUGAAGUCGUAAGUUAACAUACACUUAGUUUGGAG
ensembl:lncRNA